ACAACUUUCAACAACGGAUCUCUUGGCUCUCGCAUCGAUGAAGAACGCAGCGAAAUGCGAUAAGUAAUGUGAAUUGCAGAAUUCAGUGAAUCAUCGAAUCUUUGAACGCACCUUGCGCCCUUUGGCAUUCCGAAGGGCACGCCUGUUUGAGUGUCGUGAACUCCUCCACCCUCUCCUUUUUCGAAAGGUGUUGGGCUGGGAUUUGGGAGCUUGCAG
rnacentral:rRNA from 1 species